GCGAAAAAGGUGGAUGGCAUGGUGAAAGAAAUUGCUGCAGCAGCGUUCAUUCUUCAUCAGCAUGAUGAGGCACAUCCAGGAUGUGAGCACAGACACCACGCCCACUUGCCACUGCCAGUCCUGACCAAAUACCAUUAUUGACAAAUACAGCAAAUAAUGAUGUCCAGAAUUUUUGGGAUGAGCAGUGAUUUAUGAAUACCACUUAACCCAAAAUAUUCGUAAAACACAAGAAUGUACUCUGUGGGAGCCCAUCACACUGCUGAGAAAGUGGUAGACUUGAAAACUUGCUCAAGUUAGGAUGUAAAAGUGAAGCCACAUGCAGUAAUAGCCACAUAAUUACCAAGAUAUUGCAGUGAAGAUUGUUAAGAGAAGUGCCAAGAGGAAGGUCAGAGUUAGACAAACAUAGUGAUGUAUUCUGAUGUAGCUGAGCCAC